AGUGAACGCUGGCGGUAGGCCUAACACAUGCAAGUCGAACGGCAGCACAGUAAGAGCUUGCUCUUACGGGUGGCGAGUGGCGGACGGGUGGGGAAUACAUCGGAUUCUACUUUUUCGUGGGGGAUAACGUAGGGAAACUUACGCUAAUACCGCAUACGACCUACGGGUGAAAGCAGGGGAUCUUCGGACCUUGCGCGAUUGAAUGAGCCGAUGUCGGAUUAGCUAGUUGGCGGGGUAAAGGCCCACCAAGGCGACGAUCCGUAGCUGGUCUGAGAGGAUGAUCAGCCACACUGGAACGGAGACACGGCCCAGACUCCUACGGGAGGCAGCAGUGGUGAAUAGGGGACAAUGGGCGCAAUCCUGAUCCAGCCAUACCGCGUGGGUGAAGAAGGCCGUCGGGUUGUAAAGCCCCUUUGUUGGGAAAGAAAAGCAGCAGGUUAAGACCCCGCUGUUCUGACGGGACCCAAAGAAUAAGCACCGGCUAACUUCGUG
rnacentral:rRNA from 1 species